rnacentral:rRNA from 1 species
AUUGAACGCUGGCGGCAGGCCUAACACAUGCAAGUCGAACGGAGUGGCGGACGGGUGAGUAAUGUCUGGGAAACUGCCCGGUAGAGGGGGAUAACUACUGGAAACGGGGGCUAAUACCGCAUACUAUCAGAUGAGCCCAGGUGGGAUUAGCUAGUUGGUGGGGUAAAGGCUUACCAAGGCGACGAUCCGUAGCUGGUCUGAGAGGAUGAUCAGUCACACUGGAACUGAGACACGGUCCAGACUCCUACGGGAGGCAGCAGUGGGGAAUAUUGGACAAUGGGCGCAAGCCUGAUGCAGCCAUGCCGCGUGUAUGAAGAAGGCCUUCGGAUUGUAAAGCACUUUCAGUUGGGAGGCGUUACCAGCAGAAUAAGCACCGGCUAACUUCGUGCCAGCAGCCGCGGUAAUAC